GAGAUAGUGACUGAGCGGUUAAAGUGGUAGACUGUAAAUCUAUUGGUUUAUCCAUCAUUGGUUCGAAUCCAAUCUAUCUCA
rnacentral:tRNA from 1 species